UGGUGGAGUGAUUUGUCUGGUUAAUUCCGUUAACGAACGAGACCUCAGCCUGCUAAAUAGUGUGCGUAUUCGAAAGAAUGCGUUCGACUUCUUAGAGGGACAUUUCGGUUUUACCGGAAGGAAGUUUGAGGCAAUAACA
rnacentral:rRNA from 1 species